UUGACCUAUAUUUGAUUCCCUCUUGCAAUAUGUGCUUUUGAUCAUGAAACUGCUGAGAAAAGGCUCCUUCUAAACCACAAAACAAGAUAUGAAGACUGGAGUGAGCCCUCAUCAGCCAGAUGGACUGUUUCAUCUCUUCCGAAAUAGAAACCUCCAACCUACUCAGCCCUUUUGAGGCCAAAAAGAUACCCAUGGGCCCUCAAAAACCAACAGUCUCUACACCAGACUAAAACAAGUUUCCUAAAAGCAUUUUCCUUUUGGGCUCAUUUUUAUUACCUCUCCAUCCCAUGGUCCGAAGAUAAGAAUAAUUUGCAUAUAACAGUCAGUAUUAAAAUUUUUGAUUUGCAAUGGAUCAAUGAAUGACGAGGUCAGCCCAUCUGUGACUGAACCAAUCAAUGAAUGAGAAAUGGGUAGGUGAUAUUUACUGUCUUCUCUGUUCUAAGGCCUGGAGGGUGAGGGCAUUGAUCUACUAGUUUGCCCUUAUAUAUUUUCUUUGCUGGAGUUUCAACAUUUCUCCCUUUCAUUCUGCUGCAAUUGACCAAAACUUAAAUAGUCUGGGAGAGGUGGAGAAAGUAGAUCUAAUAGUAUCACUCACAUAAACUCUGGUCUCCAUAGGGACAUGAUGAAUGGCCAAUAGCCUCUCCUGAAUAUUUCCUUGCUUCCUGCUUAGGCAAAGAAAAUUCGUCCUUCUAAGUCCAAGGAAACAAUUGUUUUAUGUCUGAUUGUUUUUUUAAUAAGCCUUCACCAUGACCUCCCUGCCUCCACUUAUUCUAACAGGAAUUGGGGGAAGGGGGAGGUCACACAUGCUUGGAAUGUGGUGGAUGAUGUGCAGCUCAGAUGUCACCAACCAUGAUGUUUGGCUGAAGUCUGCUUAUUGCUAACUUGGUGUCAUGGCUGUGUAGGUAAACAAAUAAAAAUCAAAUUCACAGGUCAACCAUUCUGAACAAUACCUGGCUAAUUUUCCUGUUUGAAAAAUUGUCAAAGCUUUUCAACUGACUUAGAAGGUAUUCCUAGGUCAGCUGCUUUGACUAACAAGUGGGUAUUGUGUUUUUGAAUGCGUGGGAUAAUGGCGAUAAGGUCCCUAGGCCACAGGUGCUAAGGAGUUGCCACGUGCAUGCAGCGCUUCAGAGUGGCACGUCCCUUAGCAACCCAUAGUGCAAUUAACAAACUUCAUCUCAUCCUCAGCAAAACAGCUUUUUUAAAGCAUGCCAAAUGUAGUAAAAGUCCAUUCAGAAUCAAAGCCACUAUCCUCUUAAGAAAAUAAAUGGUUAGGGAAGUCCCUUUUAUUUCUCACUGUGGUUGCUCAGCUUGGGGGCUACCUAAUGAGACAUAGCAGUUGGUCAAAUUAGGGAUCCCAGACCUUUGGAUGUCAUGAGUCAGUAAAUAUUUUCUCCACCCAAAAUUAUGGUUGCUGCUGGUGCUGGGGCCCGAGGAGGUCCGCGCCGGAGGAGGGCCACAGGGACUGAGCGAGUGACAGACGCACCACCCGUCAAUGCUGCAACCCUGUAAGGCCUCCAUGGACUCUCUACGUGAGUGUAGAAUGAAUCAAGCCGACUCAAACACAGCAGCUAUUCCACAUGCAGUGGAAGAUAUUCAAGGAGACGACAGAUGGAUAUCUCAGCACAACAGAUUUGUCCUGGAUGGUAAAGACAAAAAGCCUAACGUUGUGUUUGUGGGAGACCCCAUGGUGCAGUUAAUGCAGCAACACGAGAUAUGGCGAGAGCUUUUUUCCCCGUUUCACGCACUGAAUUUUAGAACUGAGGAAGAUACAAGACAUGUUUUAUAGAAAAUAAAGAGUAGAGAACUGGAGAAUAUUGAGAGGGCUCUGCAAAGAUCUGCAGAGCCCUCUAUGAACUGAUCAUGCAGCUGAUGGAGGAACACCCAAGGAGAGAAACAAACCACCAUUGCCUGACUGGCUCCCAUCAGCGUUAAUCUCUUCCCAGCUUCCUUGAUCAGUUAUGCCACUGGCACUACAGAAUCCAUCUCUUUCUCAAAGCACUUUGCAUUGCAAAAUGUUCCUGGAUGUUCAGCUCUAGUGUUUGAAAGGGUGGAGGGAUUUACACUGGCCUUGCACGUAGAAGGUUUAUUAGACACAGGAGAAAAAAUAGCCUAGGAAGAUUGUUGUUUAAAUUUAUCUGAAACCAGAAGGAGACUUUUUAGUUGUAUGUGUGAUGCAUUUGUUGAAUUAUCACUGUUUUUCCUAGGACAAUAUCAAGUCCAAGAACUGACCGAUAUGAAGUUUUUUUUUCUUGGCCUUGCUUUCUAUGGGUUAUGUCAUAUGUAAUAAUUAUCAGAAUCACACCUACUUGGCUUAAAAACAGAUUUUUAUUUUAAUUUUUAAAGCUCAUAAUUUAACCUUUUUUCUUGUUUUGCUUUAUUCAUAUAUAUCCUCAAUAUUUUCUUAACAUGCAGCAACAGAUUGAACAUGCUUGCCAUUCAAAUAUGAGAGAUGCUAUAGUUACAAAGGAAUUUGUUCCACUUUCUUAAUCCUUCCUAUGCAUAGCAGUGAAAAACAAAUUUUGCCCCAUGCAGGGAACCCUUUGGAAGGUUUUUUGGUUUUGUUUGUUUGUUUGUUUUUUGUUUAGAUGGAUUCUCAUUCUGUUGCCCAGGCUGGAGUGCAAUAGCAUGAUCUCGGCUCACUGCAACCUCUGCCUCCUUGGUUCAAGCGAUUCUCCUGCCUCAGCCUCCGGAAUAGCUAGGAUUACAGGCCCCCACCACCACGCCUGGCUAAUUUUUUUGUGUUUUUAGUAGCAACGGGGUUUUACCAUGUUGGUCAGGCUGAUCUCGAACUCCUGACCUCAGGUGAUCCACCCACUUCGGCCUCCCAAAGCGCUGGGACUACAGGCGUGAGCCACCGCAGUCAGCUGGAAGGUAUCAUUUUUAUGUUGCUAAAUAUCAUGUCUAUCAUAAACCUAUGCCUGCAGCCUUUCCUCUUCUCUGAAGUAUAAGCCCCCCUUACUCUCAUGAUAUUACCAAUGUAGAACUCAUUCUUGUGUGGUAUUCUGCACUAUAGAGUCUGCGUAGUGUUCUGGUAUGUUCUGGUAUGUUUUGUUUGCUUUUCCCUGAAAAUCUGCUAUAGUUUCCUUUUUUUGGAAAAAAAAAACAACAAAAACCUCUGCUUUCCAUUCCAUACUACCUGCCAUUAUUUCAAGUUUUAUAAUAUCCCAAGGUGUACAUUUUAUUUUUUUUUAAUUGACUUUGUUUUUAAAUAAAGCAGUCCAGAAAAUUUGGUCUUUUCCCGGGAGGAAACAAAUGAAGCUGCUCUUCAGAAUAGCCAUUCUGCUUUUAUCCCACCAGUUCAGUAAAAAAGAACUAGAUUUGUUUAACUUUUAAGGUUUCUCAUUAACGUACCUUCACCUGAAAAUUUCCUUCAAGAGAGCUCUUUAUAAUCUUAAUGUUUGCUUGGGCAACAAGAACUGCCAUGUAAAAAUAAAUAAUGGGACGAUAGAUGGCAUAUUGUUCAAUAUACCUGCGGAAUAUGUAUAAACUGGAUGUACAGACAGAUAUUUUGAACUAGACCAGGUGGGUAUUGAAGUAACCCAACAAAAUGUGAUCUGCAGUGAUUCUGCUUAAUGUUCAAAUUCAACAGCUAAGGUAUAUGUUUUAUGUUCUGCUCGCAAGGCAAAUGGCAGUACUUUUGUGUGCUGGAGGAGAGGUUGCUGAUUGGUGCCAAGACCCACUUCUGAUUGAGAGGGAUAAAAGUUGGGCUGAAUUUUCUCUAGUCAAGACUCCUUCUAGAUUUUUUUUUUUGUCUUUAAAAAUACAUACUUUAAAAAUGUAUCAUGUCUUCAUUAAUAACAGAAAAUACACAUGGUGCUCACUAAAUUUGUUUACUACAUUAAAAUUUCCUUUUUGUUUUUAGUAGUCCAGGUUCUUGAGUUUUUUCAAGGCAGAAUUUUUUUAUUUUAUUUUAUUUUUAGCUGAGGUACAGUUGUAUAGGAAGGAGAAUUAAGCCAGAAUUUGGUGUGUGCAAAGACAAUUUCCUAUCCAGGUCUUUUUCUGUCAGAGAGUGAGAGUUUUGUCCAAAUGAACCCAUUAGGUUACUACUGAGCAUGCGAUUUUAGCUUUUCUUUUCACGGAGGAUCAAAUAUCCCUUUGUGAGCUGAGCUUCCACUUGUUUGCUUAUGUAUGUAAACUUCAGAUAUCACUAUAUUCUAUAUCUACCACAGCUAUUCAGGCAACAGUAUUCUAAUAGCUAGCCUUUAAAUAAAAAUCUGCCUCAUUACUAAUGUUCAAAAAAACAAAGAUAAAAAUAGGUCUAAUCCUAGGUAGAAAAGGUGUUUUUCCAUACAUCAAGAUUUAUAGAAAAGGAGAUUCAGAGUCAUGCUAAGACAGAAUUUCAAUGCUUACAUUGUUCUCCUCAAAGAUAAAUUCAUUCAUCUAACCAUCUUACAGAGUAAUCUUUGUUUUUGUUUGGUUCUUUCCAUUAAAAAAAUUAAGAUCGAUCUGUUUUUUUGCACA
rnacentral:lncRNA from 1 species